GACACGGUGCUCGGAUCACUGGGCGUAAGGGCUAGUAGGCGGCUGGGUAAGUCCGGUGUGAAAUCCCUCGGCUCAACCGAGGAAUUGCAUCGGAAACUACCCAGCUAGAGUACGGGAGAGGUGAGCGGAAUUCCCAGUGUAGCGGUGAAAUGCGUAGAUAUUGGGAGGAACACCAGAAGCGAAGGCGGCUCACUGGACCGGUACUGACGCUCAGAAGCGAAAGCUAGGGGAGCGAAAGGGAUUAGAUACCCCAGUAGUCCUAGCUGUAAACGUUGGGCACUUGGUGUAGGCGGUACCGACCCCGCCUGUGCCGGAGCUAACGCAUUAAGUGCCCCGCCUGGGGAGUACGGUCGCAAGGCUGAAGCUCAAAGGAAUUGACGGGGGCCCGCACAAGCGGUGGAGCAUGUGGUUUAAUUCGAUGCAACGCGAAGAACCUUACCCGGGCUUGAACUCCAGGUGACUACCGUGGAAACACGGGUUCCCGCAAGGGCGCUUGGAGAGG
rnacentral:rRNA from 1 species